ensembl:lncRNA LINC01010 long intergenic non-protein coding RNA 1010
ACACAAGGAAAGUCUGAGGCAGACUAUGGAGGAAGACGAGCUGGGAGAGAAAGGGCCAUAUAAACACCUGAAGAGAGGACGAUGUCAGGUCGACAGAUUGUGGAAUUUAGAUUCAGCACCUAAGCUAUUUGAGGUUGACACUCACUGAAAUCUUGAGUGUUUGCACCUGCUGUGGAAUAAGUCAUUGUCCUUGGACACCUUACAAGGUGGAGUUUGUGCACAUUUGGGAAGAAGGAGGCGGCUGGCAGAGUGACUUCCUUAUCGACCCACUCACCAGCAUCUCCAUCUCCCUCAGGGGGUGCUGUCCACCCACCGUGUUUUGUUUACAUCAGUAGCAAAGACAUAUGAAUCAUCUUCCACUUUUUAGCUAUGAAUGAAGAAGUAACCUCUGACACCCACUAGUGCGACUGGCCCUUACAUGCUGGUAUAUGUCAGACUCUUAGCAUCACUCUCAUUUCAUACUGCUGUUGAUGAUGUGAAUUUUGGAAAUAUUCUCCCCUAUUGGGUCUUUCUCCAUGACAGAUGAUGUCCUUUGGCUUCGGUUUUUUGCCUAAGAACUGUAAGUGGUGCUUGCUAGCCCUACUAAGAAUCCUGCCAUUGUUGCAAAUUUCAGAAAAAAGGCUGGAGUGCAGUGGUGCACACGCCUCACACUGUGACACAGCGGGAGAGCCCAGAGCGACAGCUGUUGGAAUGACUGCACUCUUCCUGCUCAAGUCUGACCUUUCCAAGCCUUUGUCCUAUGUCUGGAGACUUCUUGGAAGCUGGAGCACACAAAUAGCUACAGCAAACUUGAGGAAUGGGCAUGAAUAGACUGGCUUCGGGGAACCUGCCAGCUUGGCCGUGUGGCCAAGGUAAUAGGCAAGCCAAGGCAGAGCUAGAGCUCAGAGCUGGAGGGGAAAUUAAAGCAGCAAAUGUAGAAACAUUAAGCCUGAAGAGGCGACGACGUUGAAUUCUAAAAUGCAGGCCAAAGCUCAGACUGCAAGCUGUCUGGCUGCUCCGGGUGUGCCCAGAAGUCAAAGUCCAGCAGGGGCAAAGGUGGAGGUGUGGUCCUGCACGUGGGGUGUUGGGGGGAUGUGGAAGAGGAGGUGCUUUAAGAUCCAGAGAUUCCAGCUGCCCUGGUGCACCCUUGGAAGAAUAAAAGGCUAGGAACUGGACAAGUCAGGCUCGAGUCCAAGCUGCCUGAGGAAUCGGGGAAAGAAUGGAGCUCAGAGUGGGAGGUCAGGGCAGUAUUUAAAAAUCCAGGAUAGCAGCAAAGCUGGCGGUGGCCCCUGACUCUGGUAAGGGCAGCCUGCAGCACCAUGCCAAGGGGGGCCUGACUGAUCAUGCCCUGCAUUUGCAAACAAGGAUUAGUAGGGUAUGAGUAGGAUUCUGCUGGUGCCUGGGAAGGCAGUGCCAUCUACAACUUUACAAAGUUUUAACAAAGGCCUGAAGGACACAACCUUCCCCAAAGUCCUGACGUCGCUGUUUGCUGGCAACAAAUAGAGUCAAAAGAAGAGAGGCACAGAAUGUGCCAGGGGUGUGCUGCGUACAGCCCCGAUGACCACAAGGCCUUCUUGGGUCAAGUUCUGCCAUCUCUGGUUAAGAUGGGCUCACCCUCUAGGACCCUGAUUGAGUCCUCGGACCACCAAGAGUGCCCCACCAAGAGCCUCCCUCUUCUGGUGACUCGUGCCUGCUUCCCGUGGAGAGCUCCAGAAGGGAGGAAACUGUGAGGAGGUGGAGAACGUGGCAGGGAUCCUAACUUUCUUACUGAAGGAAGUUCUUCACAAGUACCCAUCUGCCUUCAGGGAAGAAAACAUAACUCAUUUUGGUCUUUCAAAUUCAGUUCUCAAAACCAAAUCCUGUUGUCAGCAAUCUGUGUCCCAACGCCUUCUUCAGCAACAGCAUUUUCCCUGUGGAAUUAGUUUCCAAUGUUCUUUCUUAAAUAAACCACUGAAGAUUAAAAGGAAUCCAGAUACCCACCACAUUUUGUUUCCUUAAUGAGUAAUUAUCACAUUUCUUUGGCUACUUAAAUGCAUUCUCUGAGUCAGGUAAAGGAGAUCGUAAUAGUUAAUCAACAAGAAGUAAUUCUUGGGUACUUAACAAUAGUCUAAGCACUUAAUCAUACUUAAAAUUGACUAUUAAUGAACCUUAUAAACCAUUUUGCAAUUCUGAAAGUGAAUUUCUCUGCAGGCUUAGAGAUUACUAAGCCAUUUAGAUCUUACCAAACAAAUAUUAUUCAUGCUUUAAUUCCUGGGAAAAGAAAUUUAGAAAAUGAGGUUAAUGUUCAGUUGUCCUUUCCUGAGUUUAACAAUUAUAUAUUCCAUCUGGGAUGCUCUGAACUCAGGUUAAACAUUCUUCAAGUUAUUCCCACAUUUUUCAAGUUAUUCCCACGUUAGUGACCUACUUUAUUAGUAUUAUUACUAAAGAAAAGGGCUGGGUGCGGUGGCCCACAUCUGUAAUCCCAGCACUUUGGGAGGCUGAAGCAGGAGGAUCACUUGAGCUUGGGAGUUCAAGACCAGCCUGAGAGGGAGACUCCGUCUCUAC